GGCCUGCCUCUCGGUGACCCGACAACAAUCCUGUUGACAUAACCCUGUUGAUCAAAGCAAUCCGCUAGCUGCCCCAGGCCAGUUCCUGUGGCUCUUGGUGGAAUUCACUCAGCAGAUCCGGAUCCGGUAAAUAUAAAAGGUCUGGUCCUUGGGUGGGGAGCUACAUCCUGGAAGAGGCUGCUGAGAAGUUGUCCUCCUGCCAGAGCUAGAAGUUCUCCAGGGUGGCAGGAGAAGUGAGGCCCUCAGGAGACCCCAGUGACCAAAGAGCUAGCCCCAAAGUCAUGGGCCUUGAGACAGACCUGGAGACCAGCUCAGGUGGGAAGCCGGCCUGCCAUCAGAAGGCCAUCCCCGCUGCUCACCUGACUUUCAUUAUCGACUGUGCUCGUGGCAAACCACUCGCCCUAGUAGCACCCCCGGUGCCACCCCGAGCCCCUGGUCCUAAUCUAGGACCUGUCACUUCUCCAAUGAAGACCUACAUCUUGUUCUGUGGAGAAAACCAGCCCCACUUGACUCAGGAGGCCCCUCUGGGUGGGGGACACCUUGCCCACACCAGGGGCACCCUGCCGCCCUGCAGAGGGACUAUAACCCCAGCUUCCGCCCCGGUCAGUCCACUGGUCCCUCAGGAGGCUCCUGAGGCCAAGGGAAGCCCCUUGAAGACUGUGCCCCCCAGGUCUUCAGCUUGGGGAACGGUCAUAGGCUCGCUCAAAGCCCUCUCCUCCUGUGUCUGUGGGCAGGCAGAUUAACUGGGAGAGCCUGGCCAUGGAGAAGGGGGUUGGCACAGCAGGUUCCAGAGCUCAGGGGCUGGGGCUGCAGCUCCCAGAGCCCAGCCCCUCUUCUCCAGCCAAGCAGAAAGAAAUCUUUGCACCAGGCCCAACAAAGAGCAUUAGAUCGAUCAAGGACAUCUGAACCAGCCACCAAGUACACACUCAAGGGUCUCCUGCUUCCUCCUCCCUGUCUCCAUUCACCCUCCAGCAGGAGUAGGCUAAGGCACCUGCACAUGGAAAGAAGCCAAUUCGCUCAUACGGCAAAUCCUAAUGGAGCAUCUUCUAUCCGCCAGCUCUGCAAAGUACCAGGGGAGACAUCACAGCUUUCUUGGAGCUUAUUCUCGGGGAGGUGGGUGGGGGUGAGGGAAAGAGUUAAGUAACCAAAUAAAUAAGGAUGAUUUUGAA